AUGAGUUGCCUCUCAUGGAACUGCCGGGGGCUUGGGAACCCCGAGGUGGUUUGAGAACUUCGCAAUGUUGUGAAGCUAGAAGGACCCACUCUUCUCUUCGUCAUGGAAAAAAAAAUCAAAGGGAAGAGAGUUGAGGACUUGCAGAGACAUCUAGGCUUCGGCGGGUGCUUUGCAGUGGAUAGUGUUGGUCUAAGUGGUGGCAUUGGUUUGUUUUGGUCGCAUGAUGUU
rnacentral:rRNA from 1 species